rfam:Bacteroides sp. 43_108 Ley3_66761_scaffold_113, whole genome shotgun sequence.
GCGUCCUUAGCUCAGUUGGUAGAGCAUCUGACUCUUAAUCAGAGGGUCCAGGGUUCGAACCCCUGAGGGCGUA